AAAGAAUCCAACAAAUAUAUUUGAAAAAAUAAUAAAUUAAUUAUAAUUUUUUUUAAAAAAUUAAAAUUUGGAUUGACAACCAUUAGCAAGAUAAAGAAUCCAACAAAAUAAAUAAGAGAUGGGAAGGAGCCUCUUCUAUCAACAACAACUCAUCUUGAUAUCGCAACUGAAUAACUAAUUAAUAAAAAAAAAAUAAAGAAAUUUUAAUGAAUAAAUAUUACAUAAAUUAUUUUAGAGAUAUGGUAUCAAAUGGAAGGCUCCUAUCAUUAGACCCAUAUGAUCAUUUAGAAUUAAAAUUGAAUUGAAAUUAAAU
rnacentral:misc_RNA from 1 species